rnacentral:rRNA from 1 species
CCUACGGGAGGCAGCAGUGGGGAAUAUUGCACAAUGGGGGAAACCCUGAUGCAGCGACGCCGCGUGAGUGAAGAAGGAUUUCGGUAUGUAAAACUCUAUCAGCAGGGAAGAAAAUGACGGUACUUGAUGAAGAAGCCACGGCUAACGACGUGCCAGCAGCCGCGGGAAUACGUAGGGGGCAAGCGUUAUCCGGAUUGACUGGGUGUACAGGGAGCGUAGAAGGCCGCGCAAGUCUGAAGUGACAUGGCGGGGCUUACCCCCGGAACUGCUUUGGAAACUGUGCAGCUAGAGUGCAGUAGCGGUAAGUGGACUUCCUAGUGUAGCGGUGAAAUGCGUAGAUAUUAGGAGGAACACCAGUGGCGAAGGCGGCUUACUGGACUGUACCUGCCGUUGAGGCUCGAAAGUGUGGGUAUCAAACAGGAUUAGAUACCCGGGUAGUC